rnacentral:rRNA from 1 species
CCUACGGGAGACAGCAGUGGGGAAUAUUGCACAAUGGGGGAAACCCUGAUGCAGCGACGCCGCGUGAGUGAAGAAGUAUCUCGGUAUGUAAAGCUCUAUCAGCAGGGGAGCAAAUGACGGUACCUGUUUACGUAGCCCCGGCUAACUACGUGCCAGCAUCCGCGGUCAUACGUAGGGGGCAAGCGUUAACCGGAUUUACUGGGUGUAAAGGGAGCGUAGACGGCAACAAAAGGCUGGAGUGAAAUGCCGGGGCUUAACCCCGGAAGUGCUGUGGAAACUGUGGAGCUAGAGUGGAGGAGAGGUAAGUGGAAUGCGUGGUGUAGCGGUGAAAUGCGUAGAUAUUAGGAGGAACACCAGUGGCGAAGGCGGCAUACUGGAGUGUAACUGACGUUGAGGCUCGAAAGCGUGGGGAGCGAACAGGAUUAGAUACCCCUGUAGUC